rnacentral:rRNA from 1 species
CAAACAGGUGCUGCAUGGUUGUCGUCAGCUCGUGUCGUGAGAUGUUGGGUUAAGUCCCGCAACGAGCGCAACCCUUUUCCUUAUUUGCCAGCGAUUAAUGUGGGGAAUUUUAAGGAUACGGCCGGGGACAAAUGGGAGAAAGGGGGGAAGAACUUCAAUUCUUCUGGGCCUUUAGGGCCAGGGUUACACACGGGCAACAAGGGUCAGAACAAAGGGAUGCUACUCAGGAAAGGGAUGCUAAUCCCAAAAAGCCGACCCAAUUCCGAAUUGGAGUCUGCAACUCGCUUCCAUGAAGUCGGAAUCCCUAGUAAUCGGGAAUCAAAAUGCCCGGGGAAAUACUUUCCCGGGCUUGGUACACACGAAAA